rnacentral:tRNA from 1 species
UGCCAGAUAGCUCUGUUGGUAGAGCUCCUGGCUUGAGAUUCAGGGGGCCUGGGUUGGAAUCCAGGUCUGGUCC